rnacentral:rRNA from 1 species
GCUCAACCUCGGGCGUGCGGUGGGUACGGGCAGGCUAGAGUGUGGUAGGGGAGACUGGAACUCCUGGUGUAGCGGUGAAAUGCGCAGAUAUCAGGAAGAACACCGAUGGCGAAGGCAGGUCUCUGGGCCAUUACUGACACUGAGAAGCGAAAGCAUGGGUAGCGAACAGGAUUAGAUACCCUGGUAGUCCAUGCCGUAAACGUUGGGCACUAGGUGUGGGGGACAUUCCACGUUUUCCGCGCCGUAGCUAACGCAUUAAGUGCCCCGCCUGGGGAGUACGGCCGCAAGGCUAAAACUCAAAGGAAUUGACGGGGGCCCGCACAAGCGGCGGAGCAUGCUGAUUAAUUCGAUGCAACGCGAAGAACCUUACCAAGGCUUGACAUGCACUGGACGGCUGCAGAGAUGUGGCUUUCUUUGGACUGGUGCACGGGUGGUGCAUGGUUGUCGUCAGCUCGUGUCGUGAGAUGUUGGGUUAAGUCCCGCAACGAGCGCAACCCUCGUUCUAUGUUGCCAGCACGUGAUGGUGGGGACUCAUAGGAGACUGCCGGGGUCAACUCGGAGGAAGGUGGGGACGACGUCAAAUCAUCAUGCCCCUUAUGUCUUGGGCUUCAAGCAUGCUACAAUGGUCGGUACAAUG